GGGCGCUUAGCUCAGUUGGUAGAGCAGCUGACUCUUAAUCAGUAGGUCCACGGUUCGAGCCCGUGAGCGCCCA
rnacentral:tRNA from 1 species